UACGAAGGGGGCUAGCGUUGUUCGGAAUUACUGGGCGUAAAGGGCGCGUAGGCUGUGCUGUAAGUCAGGCGUGAAAGCCCCGGGCUCAACCUGGGAAUUGCGCUUGAUACUGCGGCGCUGGAAGGUGGGAGAGGAUGGCGGAAUUCCCAGUGUAGAGGUGAAAUUCGUAGAUAUUGGGAAGAACACCGGUGGCGAAGGCGGCCAUCUGGCCCACAUUUGACGCUGAGGCGCGAAAGCGUGGGGAGCAAGCAGG
rnacentral:rRNA from 1 species